rnacentral:misc_RNA from 1 species
AAGUCGUAACAAGGUUUCCGUAGGUGAACCUGCGGAAGGAUCAUGAGCAGGCAUCCAAACGUUAAAACUCUUAAGCCCUCCCGGGGGUAGAGAGUAAGUCAUUGUCUUAACAGGUUUUGAGUUAGGGACGUCCCCCACUACGGGACUUGUGCAGAAGAGAGUAUUGACCUUGUGGCCCCAAACUACCAUCAAUCCUAAAGUGUUUGGUGAAUUGUGCAAGGGCGUCGCAGUCAAUGCUCGCUAGAGGCCCACACGGCCACCACGACCUACUACGUGGCCUACGUCAGCCCCCGAGCAUGGCAAACCGAACAACUGUUAACAAUGGAUUCCUUGGUUCUC